rnacentral:rRNA from 2 species
CGAACGAACUCUGGUAUUGAUUGGUGCUUGCAUCAUGAUUUACAUUUGAGUGAGUGGCGAACUGGUGAGUAACACGUGGGAAACCUGCCCAGAAGCGGGGGAUAACACCUGGAAACAGAUGCUAAUACCGCAUAACAACUUGGACCGCAUGGUCCGAGUUUGAAAGAUGGCUUCGGCUAUCACUUUUGGAUGGUCCCGCGGCGUAUUAGCUAGAUGGUGGGGUAACGGCUCACCAUGGCAAUGAUACGUAGCCGACCUGAGAGGGUAAUCGGCCACAUUGGGACUGAGACACGGCCCAAACUCCUACGGGAGGCAGCAGUAGGGAAUCUUCCACAAUGGACGAAAGUCUGAUGGAGCAACGCCGCGUGAGUGAAGAAGGGUUUCGGCUCGUAAAACUCUGUUGUUAAAGAAGAACAUAUCUGAGAGUAACUGUUCAGGUAUUGACGGUAUUUAACCAGAAAGCCACGGCUAACUACGUGCCAGCAGCCGCGGUAAUACGUAGGUGGCAAGCGUUGUCCGGAUUUAUUGGGCGUAAAGCGAGCGCAGGCGGUUUUUUAAGUCUGAUGUGAAAGCCUUCGGCUCAACCGAAGAAGUGCAUCGGAAACUGGGAAACUUGAGUGCAGAAGAGGACAGUGGAACUCCAUGUGUAGCGGUGAAAUGCGUAGAUAUAUGGAAGAACACCAGUGGCGAAGGCGGCUGUCUGGUCUGUAACUGACGCUGAGGCUCGAAAGUAUGGGUAGCAAACAGGAUUAGAUACCCUGGUAGUCCAUACCGUAAACGAUGAAUGCUAAGUGUUGGAGGGUUUCCGCCCUUCAGUGCUGCAGCUAACGCAUUAAGCAUUCCGCCUGGGGAGUACGGCCGCAAGGCUGAAACUCAAAGGAAUUGACGGGGGCCCGCACAAGCGGUGGAGCAUGUGGUUUAAUUCGAAGCUACGCGAAGAACCUUACCAGGUCUUGACAUACUAUGCAAAUCUAAGAGAUUAGACGUUCCCUUCGGGGACAUGGAUACAGGUGGUGCAUGGUUGUCGUCAGCUCGUGUCGUGAGAUGUUGGGUUAAGUCCCGCAACGAGCGCAACCCUUAUUAUCAGUUGCCAGCAUUAAGUUGGGCACUCUGGUGAGACUGCCGGUGACAAACCGGAGGAAGGUGGGGAUGACGUCAAAUCAUCAUGCCCCUUAUGACCUGGGCUACACACGUGCUACAAUGGAUGGUACAACGAGUUGCGAACUCGCGAGAGUAAGCUAAUCUCUUAAAGCCAUUCUCAGUUCGGAUUGUAGGCUGCAACUCGCCUACAUGAAGUCGGAAUCGCUAGUAAUCGCGGAUCAGCAUGCCGCGGUGAAUACGUUCCCGGGCCUUGUACACACCGCCCGUCACACCAUGAGAGUUUGUAACACCCAAAGUCGGUGGGGUAACCU